rnacentral:rRNA from 1 species
GGGUCAGUAGGUUGGUCGUGCCACCGGUACGUACUGGUCUCACUGAUUCCUCCUUCCUGAAGAACCGUAAUGUCAUUAAUUUGGUGUUGCGGGGAAACAGGACUGUUACUUUGAAAAAAUUAGAGUGUUUAAGGCAAGCUAACGCUUGAAUACAUUAGCAUGGAAUAAUGAAAUAGGACGAUCGAUCCUAUUUUGUUGGUUUCUAGGAUUGACGUA